rnacentral:siRNA from 1 species
UAAAGGAUGUGCUUCAAUACCGU